GGGAAGGUAGCUCAGUGGUAGAGCGCUUGCCUUGCAUGCCGGAGACCCUGGGUUCGAUUCCUCAGCACCA
rfam:Dipodomys ordii contig_17115, whole genome shotgun sequence.